rnacentral:lncRNA from 1 species
AACAUUAAGCGCCUUUAUUCAAACAUGUGGAAUGAUGAUGUACAACAAGUGUCAACACUUCGAACUUGUAUAACUUUCAAAUCUUUAUUUACAGUAUGUAAAACUCAAUUUAACUAAGCCGAACGCUCGCAUUUAACACAAUUCAGAUGUUACCUCUGAGAAUAGAAACAGGACGAUAUAUAGGUGAAAGACUAGAAGAAAGUCUUUGCAC